AGUGAACGCUGGCGGUAGGCCUAACACAUGCAAGUCGAACGGCAGCACAGUAAGAGCUUGCUCUUACGGGUGGCGAGUGGCGGACGGGUGAGGAAUACAUCGGAAUCUACUUUUUCGUGGGGGAUAACGUAGGGAAACUUACGCUAAUACCGCAUACGACCUACGGGUGAAAGCAGGGGAUCUUCGGACCUUGCGCGAUUGAAUGAGCCGAUGUCGGAUUAGCUAGUUGGCGGGGUAAAGGCCCACCAAGGCGACGAUCCGUAGCUGGUCUGAGAGGAUGAUCAGCCCCACUGCAACUGAGACACGGUCCAGACUCCUACGGGCGGCAGCAGUGGGGAAUAUUGGACGAUGGGCGCAAGCCUGAUCCAGCCAUACCGCGUGGGUGAAGAAGGCCUUCGGGUUGUAAAGCCCUUUUGUUGGGAAAGAAAAGCAGCAGGUUAAUACCCCGCUGUUCUGACGGUACCCAAAGAAUAAGCACCGGCUAACUUCGUG
rnacentral:rRNA from 1 species